UACGUAGGGGGCAAGCGUUGUCCGGAAUCAUUGGGCGUAAAGCGCGUGUAGGCGGUUCGAUAAGUCUGCUGUGAAAGUCCAGGGCUCAACCCUGGGAUGCCGGUGGAUACUGUCGUGCUAGAGUGCGGAAGGGGCUACUGGAAUUCUCGGUGUAGCGGUGAAAUGCGUAGAUAUCGAGAGGAACACCUGCGGCGAAGGCGGGUAGCUGGGCCGACACUGACGCUGAGGCGCGAAAGCCAGGGGAGCGAACGGG
rnacentral:rRNA from 1 species